rnacentral:rRNA from 1 species
UGGGGAAUAUUGGACAAUGGGGGCAACCCUGAUCCAGCCAUGCCGCGUGAGUGAAGAAGGCCCUAGGGUUGUAAAACUCUUUCACCAGGGACGAUGAUGACGGUACCUGGAGAAGAAGCCCCGGCUAACUCCGUGCCAGCAGCCGCGGUAAUACGGAGGGGGCUAGCGUUGUUCGGAAUUACUGGGCGUAAAGCGCGCGUAGGCGGUUUAUCAAGUCAGGCGUGAAAUCCCCGGGCUCAACCCGGGAACUGCGCUUGAUACUGAUUGACUAGAGGCCGGGAGAGGGUAGUGGAAUUCCCAGUGUAGAGGUGAAAUUCGUAGAUAUUGGGAAGAACACCGGUGGCGAAGGC